AGCCUUUGGAAAGGAUUAAAGGUUAUACCUGCCCAAUGUUAUAUUAAUGGCCGCGGUACUUUGACCGUGCUAAGGUAGCACAAUCAAUUGGCCCUUAAUUAGGGUCAGGUAUGAAUGGAGUUACGGGGCUUAGCUGUCUCUAGACUAUUUAAUUGAAGUUGCUAUAUAGGUGAAAAAGCCUGUAUUAAGAAAAAAGACGAGAAGACCCUUAGAGUUUUACUUAAAAAAGAGUUAUUUCUUCACUAGUUUUGUUGGGGCAACAUAGGAGAAGAACCAAACCUCCUAAAGGAUAUAAACCGAUGUUUCUAAAUAUGAAUAAACUACCUUAGGGAUAACAGCAUAAUUUUAAAAAUAAGUUUGUGACCUCGAUGUUGGACUAGGAAACUUAAGGGCUAGCCGCCUUUUGGUAAGGUUCUGUUCGAACUAUAAUUCCU
rnacentral:rRNA from 1 species